UACGUAGGGACCGAGCGUUGUCCGGAAUCAUUGGGCGUAAAGAGCGUGUAGGCGGCUAUUUAAGUCCUGCGUGAAAUCCUGCGGCUCAACCGCAGACGGUCGUGGGAAACUGGAUGGCUAGAGUGCGGGGAGAGGAGAGUGGAAUUCCUGGUGUAGCGGUGAAAUGCGCAGAUAUCAGGAAGAACACCCGUGGCGAAGGCGGCUCUCUGGACCGAGACUGACGCUGAGGCGCGAAAGCGUGGGGAGCAAACAGG
rnacentral:rRNA from 1 species